AGUACCAGUAUGGACCAGUAUGGACCAGUAUGGACCAGUAUGGACCAGUAUGGACCAAUCAAUACCAGUAUGGACCAGUAUGGACCAGUAAGGACCAGUAUAGACCUGAAUGGACCAGUACGGACCAGUAUGGACCAGUACGGACCAGUAUGGACCAGUACGGACCAGUAUGGACCA